AUGGAUUCCUCUUGGAUGAAUAACAUUAUUGGUCUGUCUCCGGCUCACGUUUUGCCGGCCCGUCCACGUCCCCCUUGCCCCAAAGAAGACACGGACGCGCCUUUCCUCGAUAUACGCCUCCGCACCGCACGCCUCGUGUGUCCCUGCCUGACAAAAAAGCCCAACUGCCGAUGCCCCAACGCCUCUCUCUCUCUCUCGUGUUUCACCUUUGCUGCAGCUCCGCCUGGCGCCUGCACCUGCAAGAGACACCCAUCUCCUUUUUCUAACCAUUGCCCCAUGAUUUUUCCUCCUUUUCUUUCUCUCUUUCAUUCAUCCUCCCCGCCCGCCCGCCCGCUGCUAGUUUUCCAGCAGCUUCUCCUUCAGUGGCUUCACUGCAAUCUUUGGCAUAUGCUUGUUGUUCGACCGAAUCCUACUUCUUGCCGUCUGCUUGCUUGA
rnacentral:rRNA from 1 species